rnacentral:rRNA from 1 species
AAGAUUAAGCCAUGCAUGUCUCAGUGCAAGCCGUCCUGUACGGUGAAACCGCGAAAGGCUCAUUAAAUCAGUUAUGGUUCCUUAGAUCGUACCCACGUUACAUGGAUAACUGUGGUAAUUCUAGAGCUAAUACAUGCCGACAGAGUUCCGACCAGCGUUUGCGCUGUGCGACGAUUCCGUCGUCGCCGCUAGACGUUUGGAAGGAACGCUUUUAUUAGAUCAAAACCGGCCAAGCGAUCGCGACACCUCCGCGUGUUCGUCGAUCGUAAGCGGCCCGCGCAAAGACUUGACGACUCUGAAUAACUUUGAGCUGAUCGCACGGUCUUCGUACCGGCGACGUAUCUUUCAAAUGUCUGCCUUAUCAACUGUCGACGGUAGGUUCGACGCCUACCGUGGUGGUAACGGGUAACGGGGAAUCAGGGUUCGAUUCCGGAGAGGGAGCCUGAGAAACGGCUACCACAUCCAAGGAAGGCAGCAGGCGCGCAAAUUACCCACUCCCAGCUCGGGGAGGUAGUGACGAAAAAUAACGAUACGGGACUCAUCCGAGGCCCCGUAAUCGGA